UGCUAUCAUAUCUGUUUUGUUGAGACUCUGAAGAAAAUAGCUUGCUUUCUCACUUCCACGUCUGAUUCAAUUUUGAAACCCUAGGAUUUGGGAGGUUUCCUUUGAUGAUUUUGAUUUUAUGUUCGAAUGAGGGCUCUACUUUGGGAUCCUGGACUCUCAAACUCACUAUGAGUCUGCAAAUUGAACUUUUAUCUCUUUGAUUAUGAUUCUGAUUUUUUAUGAUUCUGAACUUCUAUCUCUUUUACAUAACUCGACAAUCUCUUCUUGAUUCACGUGUUUGUGUACUAUAUAUAUGAUAACUCUUCUUUCAAAAGGUUUUACCAACUAUUAAUUGAUUCUGAAUCCUUUUGAUGGUAUUUACUUAAUUGUUCCUGAUUUUCCCUAAGUGAACCUUUCUUUACCCUUUUUUCGACUUGAUUCAUUCGAGUCAGCAUGUAAUUUUGGUUUUACUAAUUGAUUUCCUUUCCUUUUUUACAAAUCGUGUACUAUUGGUUUCUUGCCUUAAAUAGCUUUUAUGUACUUACCUUUUAUUAUAUUAUUAGCAAAAUAUACUUUCAAAUCCCUUUCCUUAAUUGUUUUGCCCGUUUGAAUUUGAAUCCCUUAAUUAAAGGGAGUCUUAUGUAAUUGAUUAUAAAUCAGACUUCAAUUAUUUUCUUACCUUAUUCCUCAUGUCUUUCACACUUUAAAUACACAACCCAUUUUUUCACAAGGCACAGG
rnacentral:lncRNA from 1 species